rnacentral:rRNA from 1 species
CAGCAGCCACGGGAAUACGAAGGGGGCUAGCGUUGCUCGGAAUCACUGGGCGUAAAGGGUGCGUAGGCGGGUCUUUAAGUCAGGGGUGAAAUCCUGGAGCUCAACUCCAGAACUGCCUUUGAUACUGAAGAUCUUGAGUUCGGGAGAGGUGAGUGGAACUGCGAGUGUAGAGGUGAAAUUCGUAGAUAUUCGCAAGAACACCAGUGGCGAAGGCGGCUCACUGGCCCGAUACUGACGCUGAGGCACGAAAGCGUGGGGAGCAAGCAGGAUUAGAUACCCGCGUAGUCCCUGUCUCUUAUAC